GCUGCCUGGCUCGCGACUAGGCUGACUUCAGUGGUGUUCCUUUCAGCGCCUCCCGCGCUGACUUAAGGGCCAGACUGAGAAACGUUAGUGUUUAUUGAUAUACUGCAAGAGAUUGGCAGGAGAAGAGCCUCAAGCCUCUCUGAUAUACACCUAAUUGCCAGUCACUUCCUGAGAUCUUUAGCAGAAG